CCUCCAUUCCCUUGUUUUCACCCUCUGUCCUCUGCCCGUCACUCCCCUUGUCACCUCUUGGAGCCCCCUCCUAACCAGCGGCCAGUGGGUUUCCCAUACCCCAGGAUGUGAGCCUCUUUAACCUGUAAUGCUGUGGCUAGCCCUUGGCCCCUUUCCUGCCAUGGAGAACCAGGUGCUGGUAAUUCGCAUCAAGAUCCCAAAUAGUGGCGCGGUGGACUGGACAGUGCACUCCGGGCCGCAGUUACUCUUCAGGGAUGUGCUGGAUGUGAUAGGCCAGGUUCUGCCUGAAGCAACAACUACAGCAUUUGAAUAUGAAGAUGAAGAUGGUGAUCGAAUUACAGUGAGAAGUGAUGAGGAAAUGAAGGCAAUGCUGUCAUAUCCUGCAAGCCUCCUGGGGAACGGAACAUACAUGGCCUGAAGGUGAAUACUCGGGCCGGACCCUCUCAACACAGCAGCCCAGCAGUCUCAGAUUCACUUCCAAGCAAUAGGUGCGAGCGAGCAACUUAAAGAAGUCUUCUGCUGAACUGAAAAAAAUACUAGCCAAUGGCCAGAUGAAUGAACAAGACAUACGAUAUCGGGACACUCUUGGUCAUGGCAACGGAGGCACAGUCUACAAAGCAUAUCAUGUCCCGAGUGGGAAAAUAUUAGCUGUAAAGGUCAUACUACUAGAUAUUACACUGGAACUUCAGAAGCAAAUUAUGUCUGAAUUGGAAAUUCUUUAUAAGUGCGAUUCAUCAUAUAUCAUUGGAUUUUAUGGAGCAUUUUUUGUAGAAAACAGGAUUUCAAUAUGUACAGAAUUCAUGGAUGGGGGAUCUUUGGAUGUAUAUAGGAAAAUGCCAGAACAUGUCCUUGGAAGAAUUGCAGUAGCAGUAAGUAUAUGGCUUCAGUGUUAGGAAAUUUGAGUGAUUUAAUCCUUCUAAUCAAGCUCAUUCUUCUUAUAUUCUCAAUGUUUUUUCUUGUUCUUCAAUCCCAGUUGGCUCCUAAGACCUUCUUGAUUUUCUCCUGUUUUGUUCUUCUUUUCAUAGACCAGCCCACCCAACAUCACAACAUAGUCACACGCUUAUGUGCUCCAACCUGUUCUAGUUUCAUGUGUUUGCAGGGACCUUGGUAUUCUUGUUGACUCGUAAAAUUUCCAACUUCUUCUG
rnacentral:lncRNA from 1 species